CAUCUGGCCACUCGUCACCCUGCCCCCUCGCUGCCGAAGCCACCACUGGCUUCCUUGCAUCCGGGGGUGGGGCCUCGCACAGGCUGAUUUGCCCUGGGCCCCACACCCUGCACAGGUCAUCUCUGGCGCUUGAGACAAAACCCA